CACAGUGUCACUGCUCACUGGAUAGGCUGAAGCUGCAGCGCAGUGUCACUGCUCACUGUGGAUAGGCUGAAACUGAAGCUGUAGCACAGUGUCACUGCUCACUGGACAGGCUGAAGCUGCAGCACAGUGUCACUGCUCACUGGACAGGUUGAAACUGAAGCUGUAGCACAGUGUCACUGCUCACCGUGGACAGGCUGAAACUGAAGCCGCAAAACAGUGUCACUGCUGACUGUGGACAGUUUCAGCAUUAAAGUAUUGUAAUUGAGCAGUAGGUGUUGCAUUCAGCAGUAUGUUUAUUGGAGACUAUGUGUUGAGUGCUUGUUUUGUACUGUAUGUAUAAACAGAUAUUUUGUUCAAUAGUACAGCUCUCAGUUAAACAGUACGGGUACAUUGGGUUAUAAAGCUUAAUAUUUACUAGAGUCUGUUCUUGUUUAAGCAGCAUCCAUAGCAGGCUGCUCAUGUGAUUGAGGAGCUUGUGAGAUGGGUCAAAGUUUAUUGUGCAGGUUUUCAGAGGAGCCUCGAUCUGUCGGGAGAAACACACAACAGAAUGACUGUCAUAUUCGCGAUAUUCUUCUGCCUUUUCAGUGUUUCUAAUGCUUUGUACAAGCAGUGGAUUCUUGACACUAACUUUGAAAAUGUAUCAAACUGGGACAAGGGCAGAGUUCCCUGCGCUAACGACCGUGUCUAUUUUCAACACAAUCAGAAAGCCUCUGUUUAUGUCCAGUCCACCCACUCCAUUGUAGAAAUGGUAUGUUUUGUAUCGGCCCUCGUUCCUCUCUCUCUGGUGCUGUGACUGCUCAGUUCUCCUCACUGCUCUCUUUCUCUC